ensembl:lincRNA
GAACUGAAGACUGUAAGAUUCCAAUGAUGGAAUGUUCUGAAAAAGGCAAAAUUAUGUAAUCAGAAAAAGUUCCAUGGUUGCCAGGGGUUGAAGGUGGUAAGAGGGAUUAAUAGGCAGAGCAAAGAAGAUUUUCAGGUGAGGCAUGCUGGCACCUAAGGCAACUGGGAAGCGACAGAAGCAGAAGCUGGGGAAGGAGCCUGGAAAACACAGCUUAAUACAAUGGCUACCCUUAACAGUACAGCUGAAUGAUUCACGGUACAGAAGGGGGAAAACUGACAACCAAGCUAGUGCUGGGGUCUCUGAUAUCCUGGAAAUAUGCAAUCAUACUUUUAUAAGAGACACAUAUUUAAAUUGACAAUACCCAGCACCGAUAUUUUUUCAGUGAAUCAAGAAAAUCUGUGUUACCUACUUUGUGCUUUGGAGCCUGUUUUUGUGUAGGAUUCUGGGGAAAUAAUAAAGAAUCAACU